CNGAAUGGUAGAUCCACUGACAGCUUGCACU
rnacentral:piRNA from 1 species